rnacentral:rRNA from 1 species
AGUGAACGCUGGCGGUAGGCCUAACACAUGCAAGUCGAACGGCAGCACAGUAAGAGCUUGCUCUUACGGGUGGCGAGUGGCGGACGGGUGAGGAAUACAUCGGAAUCUACUUUUUCGUGGGGGAUAACGUAGGGAAACUUACGCUAAUACCGCAUACGACCUACGGGUGAAAGCAGGGGAUCUUCGGACCUUGCGCGAUUGAAGGACCCGAUGCCGGAUUAGCUAGUUGGCGGGGUAAAGGCCCACCAAGGCGACGAUCCGUAGCUGGUCUGAGAGGAUGAUCAGCCUCACUGGAACUGAGACACGGUCCAGACUCCUACGGGAGGCAGCAGUGGGGAAUAUUGGACAAUGGGCGCAAGCCUGAUCCAGCCAUACCGCGUGGGUGAAGAAGGCCUUCGGGUUGUAAAGCCCUUUUGUUGGGAAAGAAAAGCAGCAGGUUAAUACCCCGCUGUUCUGACGGUACCCAAAGAAUAAGCACCGGCUAACUUCGUG